UGGGGGAUAUUGCACAAUGGGGGAAACCCUGAUGCAGCAACGCCGCGUGAAGGAAGAAGGUCUUCGGAUUGUAAACUUUUGUCUUUAGGGAAGAAGAAAGUGACGGUACCUAAGGAGGAAGCCACGGCUAACUACGUGCCAGCAGCCGCGGUAAUACGUAGGUGGCAAGCGUUGUCCGGAUUUACUGGGUGUAAAGGGCGUGUAGACGGGACUGCAAGUCAGAUGUGAAAUUUAUGGGCUCAACCCAUAACCUGCAUUUGAAACUGUGGUUCUUGAGUGAUGGAGAGGUAAGUGGAAUUCCUAGUGUAGCGGUGAAAUGCGUAGAUAUUAGGAGGAACACCAGUGGCGAAGGCGACUUACUGGACAUUAACUGACGUUGAGGCGCGAAAGUGUGGGUAGCAAACAGG
rnacentral:rRNA from 2 species